GUGCUCAUUUCAGCAGCACAUAUACUAAAAUUGGAACAAUACAGAUAAGAUUAACAUGGCCCCUGUGCAAGGAUGACACACAAAUUCGUGAAGCGCUCCAUCUUUUU
rnacentral:snRNA from 1 species